rnacentral:rRNA from 1 species
CCUACGGGAGGCAGCAGUGGGGAAUCUUGCGCAAUGGGGGAAACCCUGACGCAGCGACGCCGCGUGGAGGAUGAAGGUCUUCGGGUUGUAAACUCCUUUUCUUGGGGAAAAUGAUGAUGGUACUCAAGGAAUAAGCCACGGCUAACUCUGUGCCAGCAGCCGCGGUAAGACAGAGGUGGCGAGCGUUGUUCGGAAUUACUGGGCUUAAAGGGCGAGUAGGCGGUAGGGCAAGUCUGAGGUGGAAUCCUAUGGCUUAACCAUAGAACUGCCUUAGAAACUGCUUUACUUGAGUCAGUGAGGGGAGGGCGGAAUUCCUGGUGUAGCGGUGAAAUGCGUAGAUAUCAGGAGGAAGGCCUGUGGCGAAAGCGGCCCUCUGGCACUGUACUGACGCUGAGGCGCGAAAGCGUGGGGAGCAAACAGGAUUAGAUACCCCGGUAGUCCUAGCUGUAAACGAUGGACACUAGAUGUUCCCGCGUUCAUGCGGGAGUGUCGCAGCUAACGCGUUAAGUGUCCCGCCUGGGGAGUACGGUCGCAAGAUUGAAACUCAAACUCAAAGGAAUUGACGG